rnacentral:rRNA from 1 species
CAGCCGCCGCGGUAAUACGUAGGUCCCGAGCGUUGUCCGGAUUUAUUGGGCGUAAAGCGAGCGCAGGCGGUUAGAUAAGUCUGAAGUUAAAGGCUGUGGCUUAACCAUAGUACGCUUUGGAAACUGUUUAACUUGAGUGCAAGAGGGGAGAGUGGAAUUCCAUGUGUAGCGGUGAAAUGCGUAGAUAUAUGGAGGAACACCAGUGGCGAAGGCGGCUCUCUGGUCUGUAACUGACGCUGGGGCUCGAAAGCGUGGGGAGCAAACAGGAUUAGAGACCCCUGUAGUCCCUGUCUCUUAUACA